GAUGAACGCUGGCGGCGUGCCUAAUACAUGCAAGUCGAGCGAACAGACGAGGAGCUUGCUCCUCUGACGUUAGCGGCGGACGGGUGAGUAACACGUGGAUCACCUACCUAUCAGACUGGGAUAACUUCGGGAAACCGGAGCUAAUACCGGAUAAUAUAUUGAACCGCAUGGUUCAAUAGUGAAAGACGGUUUUGCUGUCACUUAUAGAUGGAUCCGCGCCGCAUUAGCUAGUUGGUAAGGUAACGGCUUAUCAAGGCAACGAUGCGUAGCCGACCUGAGAGGGUGAUCGGCCACACUGGAACUGAGACACGGUCCAGACUCCUACGGGAGGCAGCAGUAGGGAAUCUUCCGCAAUGGGCGAAAGCCUGACGGAGCAACGCCGCGUGAGUGAUGAAGGUCUUCGGAUCGUAAAACUCUGUUAUUAGGGAAGAACAAAUGUGUAAGUAACUAUGCACGUCUUGACGGUACCUAAUCAGAAAGCCACGGCUAACUACGUG
rnacentral:rRNA from 1 species